rnacentral:snRNA from 1 species
GUACUUGCUUUGGCAGCACAUACACUAAAAUUGGAAUGAAACAGAGAAGAUUAGCAUGGUCCCUGCAUAAGGGCGACAUGCAGAUUCAUUCCAUAUUUUU